GGCUGGUUAGCUCAGUUGGUUAGAGUGUGGUGCUAAUAACACCAAGGUUGUGGGUUUGAUCCUCCUACGGGCCA